rnacentral:rRNA from 1 species
CCUACGGGUGACAGCAGUGAGGAAUAUUGGUCAAUGGGCGCGAGCCUGAACCAGCCAAGUAGCGUGAAGGAUGACUGCCCUACGGGUUGUAAACUUCUUUUAUAAAGGAAUAAAGUGAGGCACGUGUGCCUUUUUGUAUGUACUUUAUGAAUAACGAUCGGCUAACUCCGUGCCAGCAGCCGCGGUAAUACGGAGGGUCCGAGCGUUAUCCGGAUUGAUGGGGGUUAAAGGGAGCGUAGAUGGGUUGUUAAGUCAGUUGUGAAAGUUUGCGGCUCAACCGUAAAAUUGCAAUUUAUACUGGUAGUCUUGAGUACAGUUGAGGUAGGCGGAAUUCGUGGUGUAGCGGUGAAAUGCUUAGAUAUCACGAAGAACUCCGAUUGCGAAGGCAGCUUACUAAACUGCCACUGACAUUGAUGCUCGAAAGUGUGGGUAUCAAACAGGAUUAGAUACCCGGGUAGUC